UGGGGAAUUUUGGACAAUGGGGGAAACCCUGAUCCAGCCAUCCCGCGUGCGCGAUGAAGGCCUUCGGGUUGUAAAGCACUUUUGGCAGGAAAGAAACGUCGCGGGUUAAUACCCCGCGGAACUGACGGUACCUGCAGAAUAAGCACCGGCUAACUACGUGCCAGCAGCCGCGGUAAUACGUAGGGUGCAAGCGUUAAUCGGAAUUACUGGGCGUAAAGCGUGCGCAGGCGGUUCGGAAAGAAAGAUGUGAAAUCCCAGAGCUUAACUUUUGGAACUGCAUUUUUUAAACUACCGGGCUAGAGUGUGUCAGAGGGAGGUGGAAUUUCCGCGUGUAGCAGUGAAAUGCGUAGAUAUGCGGAGGAACACCGAUGGCGAAGGCAGCCUCCUGGGAUAACACUGACGCUCAUGCACGAAAGCGUGGGGAGCAAACAGGAUUAGAUACCCUGGUAGUCCACGCCCUAAACGAUGUCAACUAGCUGUUGGGGUCUUCGGACCUUGGUAGCGCAGCUAACGCGUGAAGUUG
rnacentral:rRNA from 1 species